rnacentral:rRNA from 1 species
AAUCGGGAAUUACUGGGCGUAAAGCGCAUGCAGGUGGUUUGUUAAGUCAGAUGUGAAAGACCCCGGGGCGUCAACCUCGGAAUAGCAUUUGUAAACUGGCAGACUAGAGUACUGUAGAGGGGGGUAGGAAUUUCAGGUGUAGCGGUGAAAUGCGUAGAGAUCUGAAGGAAUACCGGUGGCGAAGGCGGCCCCCUCGGACAGAUACUGACACUCAGAUCGCGAAAGCGUGGGGAGCAAACAGGAUUAGAUACCCCUGGUAG